GAAUUACUGGGCGUAAAGCGUGCGCAGGCGGUUCRUUAAGACAGAUGUGAAAUCCCCGGGCUUAACCUGGGAACUGCAUUUGUGACUGGCGAGCUAGAGURUGGCAGAGGGGGGURGAAUUCCACGUGUAGCYGUGAAAUGCGUAGAKAUGYGGAGGAAYACCGAUGGCGAAGGCAGCCCCCUGGGCCAAUACUGACGCUCAUGCACGAAAGCGUGGGGAGCAAACAGGAUUAGAUACCCUGGUAGUCCACGCCCUAAACGAUGUCUACUAGUUGUUGGGGAUUCAUUKCCUUAGUAACGYAGCUAACGCGUGAAGUUGACCGCCUGGGGAGUACGGUCGCAAGAUUAAAACUCAAAGGAAUUGACGG
rnacentral:rRNA from 1 species